rnacentral:rRNA from 1 species
UACGGAGGGGGCUAGCGUUGUUCGGAAUUACUGGGCGUAAAGCGCACGUAGGUGGCUUUGUAAGUUAGAGGUGAAAGCCCGGGGCUCAACUCCGGAAUUGCCUUUAAGACUGCAUCGCUAGAACGUCGGAGAGGUAAGUGGAAUUCCGAGUGUAGAGGUGAAGUUCGUAGAUAUUCGGAAGAACACCAGUGGCGAAGGCGACUUACUGGACGACUGUUGACACUGAGGUGCGAAAGCGUGGGGAGCAAACAGG